rnacentral:rRNA from 1 species
AGUGAACGCUGGCGGUAGGCCUAACACAUGCAAGUCGAACGGCAGCACAGUAAGAGCUUGCUCUUACGGGUGGCGAGUGGCGGACGGGUGAGGAAUACAUCGGAAUCUACUUUUUCGUGGGUGAUAACGUAGGGAAACUUACGCUAAUACCGCAUACGACCUACGGGUGAAAGCAGGGGAUCUUCCGCCCUUGCGCGAUUGAAUGAGCCGAUGUCGGAUUAGCUAGUUGGCGGGGUAAAGGCCCACCAAGGCGACGAUCCGUAGCUGGUCUGAGAGGAUGAUCAGCCACACUGGAACUGAGACACGGUCCAGACUCCUACGGGAGGCAGCAGUGGGGAAUAUUGGACAAUGGGCGCAAGCCUGAUCCAGCCAUACCGCGUGGGUGAAGAAGGCCUUCGGGUUGUAAAGCCCUUUUGUUGGGAAAGAAAAGCAGCAGGUUAAUACCCCGCUGUUCUGACGGUACCCAAAGAAUAAGCACCGGCUAACUUCGUG